rnacentral:SRP_RNA from 1 species
GGAGGUUGGCGAUGGACGGUUCCCUCGCCAAUCCGGUCAGGUCCGGAAGGAAGCAGCCGUAACGAGUUUCGAGCCGGGUCGUCGAUCCAGCCUCCCAC